GACGAACGCUGGCGGCGUGCUUAACACAUGCAAGUCGAACGGUGAAGCUCCAGCUUGCUGGAGUGGAUCAGUGGCGAACGGGUGAGUAACACGUGAGCAACCUGCCCCAGACUCUGGAAUAAGCGCUGGAAACGGCGUCUAAUACUGGAUACGAGAUCAAGCCGCAUGGUUAUGGUCUGGAAAGUUUUUCGGUUUGGGAUGGGCUCGCGGCCUAUCAGCUUGUUGGUGAGGUAAUGGCUCACCAAGGCGACGACGGGUAGCCGGCCUGAGAGGGCGACCGGCCACACUGGGACUAAGACACGGCCCAGACUCCUACGGGAGGCAGCAGUGGGGAAUAUUGCACAAUGGGCGAAAGCCUGAUGCAGCGACGCCGCGUGAGGGAUGACGGCCUUCGGGUUGUAAACCUCUUUCAGCAGGGAAGAAGCGAAAGUGACGGUACCUGCAGAAGAAGCACCGGCUAACUACGUG
rnacentral:rRNA from 1 species